GUGGGGAAUAUUGGGCAAUGGGGGCAACCCUGACCCAGCAACGCCGCGUGAGGGAAGAAGGUUUUCGGAUUGUAAACCUCUGUCCUAUGGGAAGAAGGAAGUGACGGUACCAUAGGAGGAAGCCCCGGCUAACUACGUGCCAGCAGCCGCGGUAAUACGUAGGGGGCGAGCGUUGUCCGGAAUUACUGGGCGUAAAGGGUGCGCAGGUGGCCUGACAAGUCAGAUGUGAAAUACCGAUGCUUAACGUCGGGGCUGCAUUUGAAACUAUGAGGCUGGAGUGCAGGAGAGGGAAGCGGAAUUCCUAGUGUAGCGGUGAAAUGCAUAGAUAUUAGGAGGAACACCAGUGGCGAAGGCGGCUUUCUGGACUGUAACUGACACUGAGGCACGAAAGCGUGGGGAGCAAACAGGAUUAGAAACCCGAGUAGUCC
rnacentral:rRNA from 1 species